AACUUUUCUUAUAGAUGGAAAAGAAAUUCAAGGAAUAAAUCCAUCUAUAAACUCUCAAAACUGGGGGAAAUCUGUAAUUUCUGGAUGUUUAUUCCACACAUAACUUCCUUAAAAGGCUCCUAUGCUAAAGUUUAACAUUAAUUUCUCUAUUGAGAAAGUGAGGGACUUGGCUAGCCAUGAUUGUGCUUGGGUUCAUUCAUAUUAUGCAUAUAACAAUGUUCCCACUUAGAUUCAUAGAUACCAUGAUAUUGUCUUUCCUCUUUUGCUGCUGUCUUAGAUAAUAAUGUUUGAUAUACUCAUGCACAUGCAAGAGAUAUGACCAAUAAUAAGGAAUGGAAACCACAUACAAUCCCUCUGAAUUUCAUCUUUAGUCUUGGAUUUUAUAUAUAUUAAUUAACGCCAGGCUGAAAGUUGCAUUUUAUUUAUAAAUUGUCUAGUGAAAUUGUCACCACAAAGAAGCCACAUCAAAACUGGAAAGAAAAAGGAGAGGAGAUGGAGAACAAGCUAGAAGAACCACAAACCAAUAAAUCAAAAAAGAAAUUGAAACUCAGAAGAUGCAACAGCAUGGGACGAUUAAAACCACCUUUCUCUAAUGAUCCAGUCAAACCUGAUUCUCAUUGUGAUGUACCAGAGACAGGUCAAGAUGAGAAAACCAAGGACAUGUUUCAGCGCUGAUGUCUGCUGUUUCAUAGUCAGUGAUCUUGCUGACCAAAAACAUUAUGGCCUAAUGGUUAUAGGUUCAAGUCUCAGAUCCGGCAGGGAUUGUCAUUGUCAGUGAAUCAGUGAAUCCCCAAUUGCUCCCCAGGUGCUGUAGCAUUGGCUGCCCACUGCUCCGGGUGUGUGUUCGUGGCGUGGGUGUGUUUAUUCACCAAAAAAGUUUUUACGCUCGGAUGAGUUGGUUUUU